rnacentral:rRNA from 1 species
GAUGAACGCCGGCGGCGUGCCUAAUACAUGCCAGUCGAGCGAACAGACGAGGAGCUUGCUCCUCUGACGUUAGCGGCGGACGGGUGAGUAACACGUGGAUAACCUACCUAUAAGACUGGGAUAACUUCGGGAAACCGGAGCUAAUACCGGAUAAUAUAUUGAACCGCAUGGUUCAAUAGUGAAAGACGGUUUUGCUGUCACUUAUAGAUGGAUCCGCGCCGCAUUAGCUAGUUGGUAAGGUAACGGCUUACCAAGGCAACGAUGCGUAGCCGACCUGAGAGGGUGAUCGGCCACACUGGAACUGAGACACGGUCCAGACUCCUACGGGAGGCAGCAGUAGGGAAUCUUCCGCAAUGGGCGAAAGCCUGACGGAGCAACGCCGCGUGAGUGAUGAAGGUCUUCGGAUCGUAAAACUCUGUUAUUAGGGAAGAACAAAUGUGUAAGUAACUAUGCACGUCUUGACGGUACCUAAUCAGAAAGCCACGGCUAACUACAUG